UACGAAGGGGGCUAGCGUUGCUCGGAAUUACUGGGCGUAAAGCGCACGUAGGCGGCUUUCUAAGUCGGGGGUGAAAUCCUGGAGCUCAACUCCAGAACUGCCUUCGAUACUGGAGAGCUCGAGUCCGGGAGAGGUGAGUGGAACUGCGAGUGUAGAGGUGAAAUUCGUAGAUAUUAGGAAGAACACCAGUGGCGAAGGCGGCUCACUGGUCCGGUACUGACGCUGAGGUGCGAAAGCGUGGGGAGCAAACAGG
rnacentral:rRNA from 1 species